rnacentral:sRNA from 1 species
AAAAGCGCCAGUCUAGACGGGAUCUUGCGGAAAAUAAGCCCUUUUCUAGAAGAUUCCUUAUUCCUACUUGAAAGGGCUUAUUUUCCGCAAGAUCCCGUCUAGACUGGCGCUUUUCUCCGGCAAAACCCCGAGCCGGAAAAAAGCGGCAGGCAUGUUCAUGCAAAUGCCGCGGGGGGGAUUUAAAUCCCCCCCGCGGCAUUUGCAAUUCCA